rnacentral:rRNA from 1 species
UCAUUGCAAUCGAUCGGUUCAAUGCUAGAGGCCUUCUGGAGGUGAGUGACUCUCACUCUGUGCGUUUCGUUUGCCAAAGUUGAUCAAUAGCAUUGAACUAGAGAAUGCAA